rnacentral:tRNA from 1 species
GGGAAUGUAGCUUAGUGAUAGAGUGCUUGCCUUGCAUGCAUGAGGCCCUGGGUUCAAAACCUCAGUACCU